GACGAACGCUGGCGGCGUGCUUAACACAUGCAAGUCGAACGGUAAGGCCCUUCGGGGUACACGAGUGGCGAACGGGUGAGUAACACGUGGGUGAUCUGCCCUGCACUUCGGGAUAAGCCUGGGAAACUGGGUCUAAUACCGGAUAGGACCACUGCCUGCAUGGGUGGUGGAAAGCUUUUGCGGGGUGGGAGGGGCCCGCGGCCUAUCAGGUUGUUGGUGGGGUGAUGGCCUACCAAGGCGACGACGGGUAGCCGGCCUGGGAGGGUGACCGGCCACACUGGGACUGAGAUACGGCCCAGACUCCUACGGGAGGCAGCAGUGGGGAAUAUUGCACAAUGGGCGCAAGCCUGAUGCAGCGACGCCGCGUGAGGGAUGACGGCCUUCGGGUUGUAAACCUCUUUCAGCACCGACGAAGCGCAAGUGACGGUAGGUGCAGAAGAAGGACCGGCCAACUACGUGCCAGCCGCCGCCGUAA
rnacentral:rRNA from 1 species